GACGAACGCUGGCGGCGUGCCUAAUACAUGCAAGUAGAACGCUGAAGGAGGAGCUUGCUCUUCUGGAUGAGUUGCGAACGGGUGAGUAACGCGUAGGUAACCUGCCUGGUAGCGGGGGAUAACUAUUGGAAACGAUAGCUAAUACAGCAUAAGAGAAGAUGUUGCAGGGCAAUUACUUAAAAGUUGCAAUUGCAUCACUACCAGAUGGAGCUGCGUUGUAUUAGAGAGUUGGGGGGGUAACGGCUUACCAAGGCGACGAUACAUAGCCGACCUGAGAGGGUGAUCGGCCACAAUGGGACUGGGACACGGGUCAAGAUCCUACGGGAGGCAGCAGGAGGGGAUCUUCGGCAAUGGACGGAAGUCUGGCCGAGCCACGCCGGGUGGGUGGAGAAGGUUUUCGGGUCGUAAAGCUCUGUUGUAAGGGAAGGACGAGUAUGAGGGUAAAAAGUUGACGCUGUGACGGUACCUAAACAGAAAGGGACGGCUAACUACGUG
rnacentral:rRNA from 1 species